UGGGGAAUUUUGGACAAUGGGCGAAAGCCUGAUCCAGCAAUGCCGCGUGUGUGAAGAAGGCCUUCGGGUUGUAAAGCACUUUUGUCCGGAAAGAAAUGGCUCUGGUUAAUACCUGGGGUCGAUGACGGUACCGGAAGAAUAAGGACCGGCUAACUACGUGCCAGCAGCCGCGGUAAUACGUAGGGUCCAAGCGUUAAUCGGAAUUACUGGGCGUAAAGCGUGCGCAGGCGGUUGUGCAAGACCGAUGUGAAAUCCCCGAGCUUAACUUGGGAAUUGCAUUGGUGACUGCACGGCUAGAGUGUGUCAGAGGGGGGUAGAAUUCCACGUGUAGCAGUGAAAUGCGUAGAGAUGUGGAGGGAUACCGAUGGCGAAAGCAGCCCCCUGGGAUAACACUGACGCUCAUGCACGAAAGCGUGGGGAGCAAACAGG
rnacentral:rRNA from 1 species